AGGAAAAGAAACUAACAAGGAUUCCCCUAGUAACGGCGAGUGAAGAGGGAAGAGCCCAAGAUUGAAAGCUGGCGCCUUCGGCGUCCGCAUUGUAAUCUCAAGAAGUGUUUUCCGCUUCGGACCAUGCCUAAGUCCCUUGGAAAAGGGCAUCAUAGAGGGUGAUAAUCCCGUACAUGGCAUGGAGCGCCCGAAGCUUUGUGAUACGCUUUCUAAGAGUCGAGUUGUUUGGGAAUGCAGCUCAAAAUGGGUGGUAAAUGCCAUCUAAGGCUAAAUAUUGGGGAGAGACCGAUAGCGAACAAGUACAGUGAUGGAAAGAUGAAAAGAACUUUGAAAAGAGAGUUAAACAGUACGUGAAAUUGCCAAAAGGGAAGGGUAGGAGGUCAGAGAUGCGUCGCAGGAUUCAGCCUUGCUUUUGCUUGGUGUUUUUCCUGCGUUGCAGGCCAACGUCGGUUUUGGGCACUGGAGAAGGGUAGGAGGAACGUGGCACCUCUCGGGGUGUGUUAUAGCCUCCUACUGGAUACAGCGACCGAGACCGAGGAACGCAGCGUACUCGUAAGAGCGGGCCUUUUGGCACCUUUACGCUUAGGGCGUUGGCAUAAUGGCCCUCUACCACCCGUCUU
rnacentral:rRNA from 1 species